UACGUAGGGGGCUAGCGUUGUCCGGAAUUACUGGGCGUAAAGGGCGCGUAGGCGGCCCGCUAAGUCGAACGUGAAAUCCCCGGGCUCAACCCGGGAACUGCGUCCGAUACUGGGAGGCUUGAAUCCGGGAGAGGGAUGUGGAAUUCCAGGUGUAGCGGUGAAAUGCGUAGAUAUCUGGAGGAACACCGGUGGCGAAGGCGGCAUCCUGGACCGGUAUUGACGCUGAGGCGCGAAAGCCAGGGGAGCAAACGGG
rnacentral:rRNA from 1 species